UCUAUGAGCAUAACAUUUUUGACAGCAUUCAAAUUUUAGUCACUUAAAAUGUUAGCAUAAAAUUUGUUCAACAGUUUUCAAGUGUGGUUUAUUUUAAAUCUUAGCUCCUUGGCAAUUUUUUUCUAAAAGCAACAAAACUUUCCCGUGAUUCAAUCAAGGCCUUAAGGUUUUGUUCGCGUAGCCUUUUGGUGUGCACCUUGCGCAGUUUACACAAAUACAAAAACUUGACAAUAAUUUCAUUUAAAAAAAAAUUUGUUGUUAUUCAAACGACAAACUUUGUUUGGAUAAUAUGUUUCGAGUCAGGUUUCAUGCUAAUGUAACUGGAUUAAAAGGCGCGCGCAUGCCUUUGCCUACGGUCUCCAGCUGUGAGAUUGGGCCCUGCAAGCUGCAAUUACACAUAUGAUUGCUACAGUUAGAUUUAUAUGAGAAUCCUUUGCCCUAACGGCCGAUUAGGCGCCCACUGUGCGCUGAUGGGGGCAUAUGAAUGACAACAAAUACCAAUGAAAUUGAGCGCCCAACUACUCUAUCCAAAAAUAAACCCUUGCCCCACUGCCCGGCGUCGGUGUGGGUGUGGGCCUGAGCGUGUGGCGGCAAGCUGGAAAAUCGGUAUAUAAACAACAAAGGAAACAGCACAAAAAAAAAUAGCAGCAGCAACAACAACAACAACAACAACAACGGCAACAGCAGCAACAAGAACAAGAGCAGGCGACGCUGGCUGUAAAAGUUAAGGAAAAUAUUUACAAAUGAAUUAACGUAAUGAAAAUAAACUAGCGCACAGAUACAUGACAAUGAUGUCGAUGAUGAUGAUGAUGACGUUGACAAUGAUAAUCAUAAUUUCAUUGUUUUUGCCUUAUUUUUUUUACUGCUGUCAUCGGUGGCCAUAAUGAAGUUAGCUGAUGACGCCGUGGCCGCCCCAGAUCCAUAAAUGAUAAGUGCGUAGUAGAAAAACUAUUUAACUGCACCACAAAGCCCAUGAUACUCAUGUGCAUGUGUGUGUGCAUAUAUACAUAUAUAUAUAUUUAUGUGUACAUGUUCCCAGUCUGAUAAGAUAUGGUAAAUGCAGCGCCUGACCAUAAACCUAUUAAAUUUUAGGACCUCAGAUCGGGUGUGUUGACCUUGGCCCACUAAUUAACUCAAUUUGAAAUAACGAAAAUCGCAAAAAAAAAAAAAAAAAAAAAAAGAUGAUAAACCUGGCAAUAAGUUUAGCUAAUUGUUCGAUAAAAUAGAUUCGAUCAAUCAUAUACGAAAGUAUUCGGCGCUGUUCGGCCUCAAAAACGCACCAACGACAGCCUGAUAAGAUGCCGCCUCAAUAUCCACCAUACGACUCAGCAAUCUGCCUUAGACACAUACAAAUCAUAAAUAUUGUUGAAUUCGAACCGGCCACCUACCGAUUGUUAGUCCUACGCUCAAGCACUAUAGCCAUGCAAGCAAGUCCAAAACACAUUUAACAAAGGGUUACGAAUUUGAAUCGCUUGGAAGCGAGUAAAUGGAUUCGACGAUGUGUUGAUGAUUGUUUCCCAGCUGACAAAUCGAAUGCAAAUAUUCAAGUCUCCAUAUAAAAGCUAUUGUACUAUAUAACAGACUUGUAAACAAAGCUACACUUAAACAUUUAAUGGAAUUGAAUUCAAUGCUAACGAACUAUAAAACGAAAAUGAUGUCCUUGUAUGUGACUGUGUUUAUGUAUGCGUGUGUGUGCGUUGGCGCGUUGUAUGUGGUGUAUGUUGUACGAACAGCAAUCAAACUGUUGAAUCCGGCCCAAAGGACGUGCAGCAAAAAAUAAUAGAAAAUAAAAAAUAAAAAAAAUAAAAAAAUAGCAGCCACUGUUACCGUGGAUGUCACAUAUUCUCCAUCCUUUCACAAAAGGACCUCAGCUCUGCAACUCGGCUUCCUAUGCUUCAAGUUGCCGGCACACAAAACAAAAUGGCGGCAGCCCAAAAGGUAACAAUGCCACCAGCUAAAUGGCCAAACUGCCAAAAAAGACAAAAAAAAAAAAACCAAAAACAAGCCAAACAGUGAAAAAGCAGGAGGCGCAAAGAAGGGGAGAAGGUAAAGCAAUGUAAUUAUAUAAAAGCAACAGCAGCCACCACGGGAAGGGCAACCCACGAUGCAAAACACAGCACAGAAAACGCAACAACAGCAGAAACAACAACAACAACAGCAACAACAACAAGAGACGCCAGGCUAAAUACGAAGCAUUGAGUGGAAUCUGUAGUGCGUUGAGUGGCGUGCUUUGAGUUGAGUUUUAAAGUGAGCGCAACUCAAAAGAGUGACGUCUGCGCAUUUCGUAGCCCCUCUCAACUUUGCAGAAAUACAACAGCCGUGGUUCGAAAACCAGCAAAAACUGCUCAAAAGCAAUGUUAAGCCAAAUGUUAAUUUAAAGCGGCUCUUAGCUAUGUUAACGGAAGCGUAUUUGUGCAGCUUUUGUCGCUGGCAACCUAUGCGCGAUAUAGACUAUAGAAACUAUGGCACAAAUAGAAACUUAAAGCACAAUUGUGAUAUAUUUAUGAAAUUUUCGGUUUUUCUAAUAACUACCAAGCGAUAGAACGUUA